rnacentral:rRNA from 1 species
UACGUAGGGUGCGAGCGUUGUCCGGAAUUACUGGGCGUAAAGAGCUCGUAGGUGGUUUGUCGCGUUGUUCGUGAAAACUCACAGCUCAACUGUGGGCGUGCGGGCGAUACGGGCAGACUGGAGUACUGCAGGGGAGACUGGAAUUCCUGGUGUAGCGGUGGAAUGCGUAGAUAUCUGGAGGAACACCGGUGGCGAAGGCGGCAUCCUGGACCGGUAUUGACGCUGAGGCGCGAAAGCGUGGGGAGCAAACAGG